rnacentral:lncRNA from 1 species
CCGCCGCGGAAGAGAUGGUGGAGCUCUAUUCAGGCUCAUUACUCUUCGGUUAAUCAACCACAGGUUGGAGGAGCCACCCCUGCAACACUUUAGGCUUUCUCUCUUUAAUCUGGAAGCAUCUGUUCGCCACCCUGAAGGAUGUCGGACACUCUGACCAGAGGGUUUCGUUCCCAGCUGACCACGUCAAUGGACGUAGUCUUAAAGAGGACUGUGUUGGAAGUCAUGAAUAUUUUUGAAAACACUGUGUACGAAUAUCGAAUGCAACUUUCAUACAAAGUCAAAGAGGUGUCUGAGCUCAAAGCGAAGUUGCAGACAGCAGAGUUGAGGCUGCAAGCCCUGCUGCAUGGGAAGGAUGGAGGACAAGAAAUUACCCAAGUGGCAAGUGAAACUCAAACACCAUCUGAAGCUCCUACACAAACCCGGACACAAUCCACUGAUGUGUCCGAAGUUGAUGCUGUACCUGAAGACUGGUGUGAACCUGUGAGCUCCGAGACUAUGAGCGUUCAAGAUGUUGGUGAAUCUCCUGGUGUAAAACUUCGCCCGCUGUCCAUCUCUCUUUGGAAUCUUCCAGUCCGCAAAACUGAGGGGGGUUACUGUGGCAUUGACUCACACCUCAAAACCUGGAAUUCCACGAGAUUCACUGCUUCAAACAAUCCGAACAUGAGUAGGAUUAAAACUUUUCCAGUGCCAAACUUGGAACAAGAGUCACCCGACCAAGCACAACUCGAAGAUCUGAGAAGACGCAAGAAAAUGUCAGCAGGAGAGGUGAAAAAGCAAACGGUGAAGAGGAAGAAAAAUAAAAAAGCUGCAGAGGCCAGGUCUACUGAGGUGAACACUGUGGAAAAAAAUGUAGGCAACAUGUACCCUUGUAAAGUUUGCAACAAAGUAUAUGAAUCAGAUUAUGGCCUACAUGAGCAUGCACGAAUCCAUAAGCAAUGCAGUGGCUGCAAAAAAAUCUUCCCGUCAAAAAGGUUGUUUAUUUGUCACAAGCUGUCUUGUAGAAAAUUGAAAGUGCAGGUUCCAGCAACAACCAGCCCUCCAGAACUCUCCCAUGAAGGAGAAAACGCGCUCGCUGCAAGCAAAAAGCUGACCGCUAUUAACAAAAAAAGGACACCUUCCCUUGGCAGUAAAUUGGCCACAAAUAAAGGUGCUUCCACCAGUAAGUAUGCUUGUCCACACUGUGAUGAAACGUAUGCGAAUCCGUUCUUGCUAAAACAGCAUGUAAGGGUUCAUUUCAGCAAGAAGUUAACCCCUUGCACUGUGUGUUCAAAGAUGUUUCGCAACAAGAAAGGCAUGAAAAUCCACAGGGCGAAAGCCCACGAAAAUAAAAUGAAUGCAAGUGACGGAACAGAAGACCUCGCAUGGACAGAGCCUGUGGAGGAGAUUGAUAAUGAACCACAUGAUUUGAUUUCCAUCCACUCAAAGUCAUGUCAAAAGUCUAGCCCGAGUGACGAAGAAAAACAAAAUUCAGUGAUAAACGUGAAAUUACAAACAACGGGUCAAGACACGCAAAAGGGUUCCAGUUGUUUAUUGUGUCUGAAAAGGUUUGAAAACAACUAUGCCUUGAUUGAACACAUGGCCAGCCACAAGUAAGGCACUGGUCUCUUGAGAGAAGUGUCGGGUCAAGUUUGUUCAAACCUGAAGCAAAAUUUAUCAUUCAGACUAAAUGCGCUCACUGAUCAAGGCUUCUUUUAAAAGCUUAUUUUAUCAUUACUUUUAUUUUGAAGUAUAUCCAUAAAGUAAAUGUGUACAUGUUGUGGUAGGUCAGGUUGUUAGGAAAACUGGCUUCAACGUUCUUUUAACAGAUGUUAGACCAACUUUGCACAUCUGUGUAUUUAUAUGAUAUCUAUAGGAUUUAAUUUUAGUCUGGACUCACACUUUUCUGUUCACUGUCAAAUUAACCUUGCAGAUCCAAGUGGUAUGAGUACUCUACUUUUGUUGAUGAAAAAUAGAAAAUGCGGCUGCCUUUCAGGAUCUCCUUUUGCUGGGCUGGAAUAUGACACUUUUGAGUAUUGUCACAUUAUUUGUUCUGUAACAAGUUAAACCAAAAUGUUUUGAAUGUAUUUACCAUUGUAAUUAUCUCCAAAAAAAGUUACAUCUGUGUAUGAUUUGUUUUACCAUAAACCUGUGAUGGAACACACUAUUUUAUAGGACUUUUAUAUAUCCUUGAAAUCGUCAAAGAGUGACCUUUUAUGUUUUUUGUAAUUUAACUAUUCGAAUAUGUGCUUGGGAUUCAUUUUAUGCAGACUGUAUUUGUUGAGCUUUAUUCGUGGCAUUUGUUUUGGAAAUAAAGACUGAUGGUAAUCUUUAACAAUCGCGUCAUUAAUCAGAAAUACCGUAUCUU